GCGAUAGGUAAUGUGAAUUGCAGAAUUCCGUGAAUCAUCGAAUCUUUGAACGCACCUUGCGCUCCAUGGCAUUCCGUGGAGCAUGCCUGUUUGAGUGCCGCGAAAUCUCCCACCCCUAGCGGUUGCCGCAAGGCGCCGCCGGGCGGCGGGGUUGGUUGGGUGCCGCUGCCUGGGCUUUGGCCCAGGCUCGCCCGAAAUGCAUGAGCGCUUAGCACUCGCACCGUCUCGAGGGAAGGCGGCGGAGCUGGCAUCUGCGCAUGGCAUGAUACGUCAUUUGCUGUGUGGCAGCCCAGCGACCCGAGAGUGUGUGUGCGCUACUACACGCCCUUUCAUUUCUGGUCUCAAAUCAGGUAGGAUCACCCGCUGAACUUAAGCAUAUCAAUAAGCGGAGGAAA
rnacentral:rRNA from 1 species